rnacentral:misc_RNA from 1 species
GUCCUCUGACUCAGACUACUGUACAAAUUCUGUUAAACAGUGCUAUGUGAAAGAAGAGAGCAAUUCUUUGUCUGAAAAAGAGCAGACAAUCUUAUUUCUGGCAAAUAUGGGAUACCCAGUGGAAGAGGUUUCUAUAGCAAUGGAGAGAUGUGGUCCAGAAGCAUCGGUUUCUGAAUUGACAGAUUUCAUUUGUGCUGCUCAAAUGGCAAGAGAAGAAGAUCCCUAUUUGCCAGAAGAUGUAAAGCCAAAACUGAACCAUGGUAGUGGUGGAUACAAGAAGAGGAAGAUGUUCAAUCAGUUGUGCAAAAGCAAAAAGCCAAGGGCGAUUUUUGAUGAAGAGACAAUUCGUUUGCCCAAACCUAUGAUUGGAUUUGGGGUUCCUACAGAAUCAGUUUCUGCAAUUGUCCGAAGAACUAUUCCGGAGCAAGCUUUUGGCCCCCCUUUUUUCUAUUACGAAAAUGUUGCUCUAGCUCCAAAGGGUGUGUGGGAUACCA